rnacentral:rRNA from 1 species
UACGUAGGGUGCAAGCGUUAAUCGGAAUUACUGGGCGUAAAGCGUGCGCAGGCGGUUCGGAAAGAAAGAUGUGAAAUCCCAGGGCUUAACCUUGGAACUGCAUUUUUAACUGCCGAGCUAGAGUAUGUCAGAGGGGGGUAGAAUUCCACGUGUAGCAGUGAAAUGCGUAGAGAUGUGGAGGAAUACCGAUGGCGAAGGCAGCCCCCUGGGAUAAUACUGACGCUCAUGCACGAAAGCGUGGGGAGCAAACAGG